AGUGAACGCUGGCGGUAGGCCUAACACAUGCAAGUCGAACGGCAGCACAGUAAGAGCUUGCUCUUACGGGUGGCGAGUGGCGGACGGGUGAGGAAUACAUCGGAAUCUACUUUUUCGUGGGGGAUAACGUAGGGAAACUUACGCUAAUACCGCAUACGACCUACGGGUGAAAGCAGGGGAUCUUCGGACCUUGCGCGAUUGAAUGAGCCGAUGUCGGAUUAGCUAGUUGGCGGGGUAAAGGCCCACCAAGGUGACGAUCCGUAGCUGGUCUGAGAGGAUGAUCAGCCACACUGGAACUGAGACACGGUCCAGACUCCUACGGGAGGCAGCAGUGGGGAAUAUUGGACAAAGGGCGCAAGCCUGAUCCAGCCAUACCGCGUGGGUGAAGAAGGCCUUCGGGUUGUAAAGCCCUUUUGGUGGGAAAGAAAAGCAGCAGGUUAAUACCCCGCUGUUCUGACGGUACCAAAAGAAUAAGCACCGGCUAACUUCGUG
rnacentral:rRNA from 1 species